UUCCCAGAGCCAAGUCUAAGAAAGCAGGGGAAAACUCUAUUGAGAGAAAUGAGAUUUUUCCUUUCCUAGUGUUCAUGUGUGGAACGUGGAAACCUAGGGAAAUGAGUGGCUUUGAGGUGGGAAUGGGGAUGGCAUAGUGUUCAACAUCUUCUACCUGCUAUGGGUGAGACCCCUCCUUUCUUGCUUGUAAGUGGGAAAAAUAAAACAGAUUAAUUAUCCUACCUAAAUCCAAGUAGAGGGGGUUUAUUGAAUUAAUGCGAUUUAUAUAGGUGUUGACAUUCAGUGGCAUAUACUCAAUUCAAGACUAGAAAUUGGCUUUAGGUCCAUUUAACUAAAGACACCAGAUCCUGCCUGACUUUGGAAGCUAAGCAGGGUCAGCCCUGGCUAGUACUUGGAUGGAAGACUGCCAACAAAUACCAGGUGCUGUGGGCUAUAUUUUAGAGGAAGGAACUGGCAAAGCCACCUUUGAGAAUUUCUUGCCUAAGGAAACCCUAUGAAAUUCAUGGAGUUGACAUAAGUCAACAGGUGACUUGAAGGUUCAUACAUACACAGGUCAAAGUGGUCUUAAAGGGCAUCUGCAGUGUCUGGAUGAAAAGCUAGCAAAUCAAGGACACGUGGAAAGUUAUGCAAAAGCAAAAACUGACUGAAGGCAAUGUCAAGAAAAGUUGAAGGCGUGCGCGCGCGCACACACACACACACAUUUGCUAUAGUUCCAUUUUCACAAAGUUGCAUUUGACCUUUAGACUAUGUCGACCUAAUGUGUAAGUCAAGGGCAGUUUUUGGGGCCAAAGUUAAGGAUUUUGAUAUGACCUGUGGAUAUGUUGAGGGUAAAACUUAGGGGCGUGUAACUUAGAUUCUGAAGGAAGAAGGACCAGAAAACAAUGCCAGAGAAUUUACAAAAUUCCAGCAGGCAUCACUGUUAGAAUAGAGGGGGUUCAGUGCUUCAAGGACAGCUUAUACUUUUGCCUUUCACCAGGGGAGGGUCCCUUUUUAAAUAAGAUUUAAAGUUUGUACUUAGAUUGACCCAUUGACAAGUUGACUCAGGUUUUUUGAAUGAAUUUUUAACUAAAAUUUCUAGAUUUAUAUAUGAAUAUACAGUAAACAGCCAGGGAGCAAUGCGGGAGCCAAAGGGGCUUCGGGUGAUUAGAGGCUCCUUCUCUCUUUCCCAGUGAAACUGGGGAGACACAGAUGGGCUUUCACAGAUGAUUGCACUGGCAACAUCACACUGGUUUUAGGUAGUUGUAAAGGGAAUUAUAGUGUAAGCUUCAUGCUCAUUGAUUGAUACAAUUACUGAUGUCACAUUCCUUUGUUGUCCCUAUGGAGACUAGUAGCUUCAGGGGGAAAAGCUUGAAGUAUCUAAACCUUUGGCUAACGUAGUGAGGAUAAGAUAUGACAUAGUGUUCCAGAGCAUUGCAGAGACAUUCUUUUUUGGAGGAAAGAGGUGAAGAUGACCACAGUUUAAAAGGUCUUCACUUCACAUAUGACAUUAUGUGUGUACGGACGAAUCCUACACCCGAUUCAACAUCUACAAUCUGGGAAGCAGUUCUAGGUUUGCUUGGUUGGAAUGGCAGUAAUAAUGCCCGCCAUGAUGAUUUGUCAAGCAGUAUUCUGGAGAAGAUAAUGGGAUUGCUGUCUUUCGCAGCUUUUGUGUAUGUUGGAAUCAAAGUCAUUCACCAUCUCUGUGGAACCCAAACACGGGGUAACAUAACCAACAUAAAUGCAUGUCAUGUUACUAUAAACUAUGGCCCCCACAAGGAUUACACUGCGAAUGGACAUCUGACAGAUGACAGUGACAUGAAUUAAGCAAGGAAUCAUCGCAUUGAAUGCUACGUGUUAAUUCAGUUUGAACUUAAUUAAAACUCUUACCACCUGA